rnacentral:rRNA from 1 species
AACGGGUGAGUAACACGUGGGCAAUUGCCUCGAAGCUGGGGAUAAGCCUCGAAAGGGGGUCUAAUACCGGAUAAUAUCCCGGCAUCCAAAGGUUCGCUUUGAGAUGAGCCCGCGGUCCAUUAGCUUGUUGGUGAGGUAAAAGCCCACCAAGGCUAUGAUGGAUAGCCGACCUGAGAGGGUGUUCGGCCACACUGGGACUGAGAUACGGCCCAGACUCCUACGGGAGGCAGCAGUAGGGAAUCUUGCGCAAUGGGCAAAUGCCUGACGCAGCGACGCCGCGUGGAGGAUGAAGUUUUUCGGAAUGUAAACUCCUGUCCGUGGGGAAGAAUGACGGUACCCACAGAGGAAGCUCCGGCUAACUCCGUGCCAGCAGCCGCGGUAAUACGGGGGGAGCAAGCGUUGUUCGGAAUCACUGGGCGUAAAGAGCGUGUAGGCGGGCAGACAAGUCAGACG